UCUCGUUAGCGUAAAAGUUAACUCAUAUUUGUAUGGAGUUGGAACGUUUGCCUAAGUUUGUCGCUAGGGGCGCUGUUCCAACUGCAUACAAAUUUGUGUUAACUUUUACACUAUCGU
rnacentral:pre_miRNA from 9 species